rnacentral:sRNA from 1 species
GUGAGACGGACUAAAAUAUAACCCCGCAAGAUGAAGCCUUCACGACAGAAAUCGGGCGGUUUGGCGAAGA